UACUGGGCGUAAAGCGAGCGCAGACGGUUACUUAAGCAGGAUGUGAAAUCCCCGGGCUCAACCUGGGAACUGCGUUCUGAACUGGGUGACUAGAGUGUGUCAGAGGGAGGUAGAAUUCCACGUGUAGCAGUGAAAUGCGUAGAGAUGUGGAGGAAUACCGGUGGCGAAGGCAGCCUCCUGGGAUAACACUGACGUUCAUGCUCGAAAGCGUGGGUAGCAAACAGGAUUAGAUACCCUGGUAGUCCACGCCCUAAACGAUGUCAAUUAGCUGUUGGGCAACUUGAUUGCUUAGUAGCGUAGCUAACGCGUGAAAUUGACCGCCUGGGGAGUACGGUCGCAAGAUUAAAACUCAAAGGAAUUGACGGGGACCCGCACAAGCGGUGGAUGAUGUGGAUUAAUUCGAUGCAACGCGAAGAACCUUACCUGGUCUUGACAUGUACGGAAUCCUCCAGAGACGGAGGAGUGCCUUCGGGAACCGUAACACAGGUGCUGCAUGGCUGUCGUCAGCUCGUGUCGUGA
rnacentral:rRNA from 1 species